AAAUAAUUUACACUUUUGACUUAACAAUUUAUUAUUUCACUUAAUUAAUACAUAAUGUAUUACCUAACACUAUUUACGUCUUGCUCUGAAAAAAAUUAUAGAAUGUACCAAUAAAUAAAAAUAGCAAUUUAUGCGAGAAAAUAUUGAGGAUUCCCAAAGAUCUGUGCUAACUGCUAAUGAAAAAAUAACUUUGUCCAUCAGUUGUCUAUUCAUACUAUUUAACCGUAUGAAUGUCCUCGUACGUACCAUACAUUCUAAGACUUCUACUGGAAUCUCAAUUAUAUUCUGCAGUUUACUUACUAAUAUGUCUCUGACAUUCUUCAUGACUCCUGGAGAAAUGCAUUGAAUUGAAAAUCAAUAAAUACAGCUUUAAUAUUUCUAUAAAAUAUAUAAUAUAAUAUGCAUAGGCACCUGGAGUCUUUCUCAGUGUGUUUUUGGUAUGAUAUUCAUUAAAAACAACUUCAAGUACUUUUGCCACUUGUAUCAUACUUUUUUGAAGGCUUAAUCAAAUUACCUUUUGACAUUUGUUCAGUCCAAGAAGAAUCAGAUCCUAUCACAUUACUAACUUUUUCGCCUAGACUUGGAUAUUUGCUCAAAAACUUUCUGGCUACUGAGCCUGUUACAUAUUCCAAACAGUCCUUUUCAAUAUCAUACGUAUGCAGCUCAUUAGUUAACAUCUAUAAGAAGGUCAAACAAAACUAUAUCCAUGAUCCAUACAUAGUGUAAGUGGUAUAACUAACUUAUACAAAGGGAUUAAAAUAUUAGUGAAAUAAAGGCACCUGUAACUCAAAUUCCUUCAAUAAUUCUAAACUACAUUCAGCUUUGUUUACUGUACAUGCAGACAAACAAUUAAUUAAACUUUCUUCAUUUGUAUCUUCAGUAUUCCGGUGUUCAGUAAAUACAGAAUUGGAAUAUUUCCCUAACAAAUACCAUCGUAAACUGCCAAACAGAAAUGAACAUGUAUUACAUUUAUAAACAAACUACAAAGUAGGUAUGUUAUUAUAUAUUAUUCAACAGACCAAUAUUUAAACUCUAGUGGAGAAAUAUGAGUACUUGAACCAAUCAUCCCUUUAAUAAAACUAAAAAAAUUUUCUAAAACGUCAGAAUUUAGUCUCCUAGUUAUUAUGUAAUAUAAAUCACUGUAUUCCAUCUUUAAAUCUAAUAGAAGAUUUCUUAGCGAUGCAUUGGUUACUAGUAUACCUAGAUAAAUAAUUUGUUUGAUUAUUUAAAUUAAAUUAAAAUUAAUAAUUAAAUCCUAUUACAAACACUACUCCAUUUUUGUUGGUAAAAAGGAUUUUUAGGAAAUCUAUGAAACCUUAUAUCAGCUGUAUUGCAAUCAACAUAUUUCUUACUUUUGCUUCCACUCUUACACUCAUUUAUUGCACACCAAGACAUUAUACAAUUAUAUUUAUUCAGGUUAUUAAAAACACAAAACCAAUAAA